CGGGGUUACAACAAAAUGGUGUACUUUUGGGGACCCAAGGACUGGAGUUGGGAAACGCUGCUUUAUGUGCUUGGUCAGCAUUAUAAUAUUCAACACUGGCACACUAACAUUACAGGAUUCAAAGGGUUCCAUUUGUGUCAACUAACUGCAACCAAUUCUCUGCGCAAGCAACCACGACAUUUGCAGAACUUAUGACUUCAACAAAAUCAGCAGUAGGUUGUGUUAGCAGUGACACUGACAUUUACCAUAAGUCAAACGACCAACUUAAAAUGGGGGAGAGAGGAAGGGCAAGGAGAAAAUGUCCUCCUUGAAGAUUUUUGACCUCUUUAUCUCCCCGUCUCUCCCGCCCUCUCUGCUGUUGGACCAGGCAUCAAUGGGAGUCCAAUCUCUAACCUGCCAAUUUAAAUAAAUGAUCCAGACCUUGGCUGAUCAUUUGUUAACCUACUCCAACAGUCUAGUGUCAAUCCUUCCAAGCCUGUCCCCUUGACAACAAAACACUAUAAGGUCUGUGUUGUAUUCAUCAUUUCACUGUAAGGUCUACAUGUGUUGUAUUCAUUAUUUCACUGUAAGGUCUACAUGUGUUGUAUUCAUUAUUUCACUGUAAGGUCUACAUGUGUUGUAUUCAUUAUUUCACUGUAAGGUCUACAUGUGUUGUAUUCAUUAUUUCACUGUAAGGUCUACAUGUGUUGUAUUCAUCAUUUCACUGUAAGGUCUACAUGUGUUGUAUUCAUUAUUUCACUGUAAGGUCUACAUGUGUUGUAUUCAUUAUUUCACUGUAAGGUCUACAUGUGUUGUAUUCAUUAUUUCACUGUAAGGUCUACACCUGGUGUCAUCAUUUCACUGUAAGGUCUACAUGUGUUGUAUUCAUUAUUUCACUGUAAGGUCUACACCUGGUGUCAUCAUUUCACUGUAAGGUCUACAUGUGUUGUAUUCAUUAUUUCACUGUAAGGUCUACACCUGGUGUCAUCAUUUCACUGUAAGGUCUACAUGUGUUGUAUUCAUUAUUUCACUGUAAGGUCUACAUGUGUUGUAUUCAUUAUUUCACUGUAAGGUCUACAUGUGUUGUAUUCAUUAUUUCACUGUAAGGUCUACAUGUGUUGUAUUCAUUAUUUCACUGUAAGGUCUACAUGUGUUGUCUUCAUUUCACUGUAAGGUUGUAUUCGGCGCAUGUCACAAAAUACCAUUUGAUUUGAUCACGACUGCAAUAAAGACAACCUGGAACCUCAACCACAGGGUUGUGUUUCACCAAGCAGGAUCGAUCAGCUAACCAGGUAACACUAAUCAAAUACUUAUUUUCUGAAUGGGAAAGAGAACAUAAGUUGAAUACAGAGGUAAUACAGAAUAUUUUGGAAAGUGAACUG